rnacentral:rRNA from 1 species
ACUAAACAGCUAGCUCAACCAUCAGAAUAUAACAAUAAGAUAUAAAUAAUUUUACAAAACCCCAAUAAAAAAACUAAACCAUUCGACCACCCCAGUACGGGCGACAGAAAAGGAAAAAAUGAAGCCAUAGACAAA